GGAUGACCUGGGGCUAGGGGUGAAAGGCCAAUCAAAUUCCGUGAUAGCUGGUUCUCUCCGAAAUGCAUUUAGGUGCAGCGUCGGUCGAUUGCGUCGCGGGGGUAGAGCUACCGGAUGCUUGCGGGCCCUUGUUGGGUACCAACAGCAGCCGAACUCCGAAUACCGUUGACGUGUAUUCCGGCAGUGAGUCGGCGGGGGAUAAGCUCCGUCGUCGAGAGGGAGACAGCCCAGACCGUCGUCUAAGGUCCCGAAGCGUGUGCUAAGUGGGAAAGGAUGUGGAGUCGCAUAGACAGCCAGGAGGUUGGCUCAGAAGCAGCCAUCCUUCAAAGAGUGCGUAACAGCUCACUGGUCUAGUGGUUCCGCGCCGACAAUGUAGCGGGGCUCAAGCACACCACCGAAGACGCGGCAGCAAUCUUCAUGGUUGCUGGGUAGGAGAGCGUCCUGCGAGGGGCGAAGCGGCGGUGGAAACCGGCCGUGGACUUCGUGGGAGUGAGAAUGCAGACAUGAGUAGCGAGAGACGGGUGAGGAUCCCGUCCGCUGGAUGACCAAGGGUUCCGGGGCCACGUUCGUCGUCCCCGGGUGAGUCGGGUCCUAAGGCGAGGCCGACAGGCGUAGUCGAAUGGAUGAACGGGUGGAUAUUCCCGUACCGACCAUGGACCGGCAAAACCGAGACGGUGAGUACUAACCUCCGCCUCGUGGUGGUUCCUUCCUUCGGGUUGGUUCCGCCGCGUGGUGUUGGGACCGUAGCCGCAGUAGGUCAGCGCAGGGGUGACACGGAAUGGGAGCCGGCCGCGGAGGUGGUUUUCCGUGGUCAAGCACGCAGCCAGUCAUGUAGGCAAAUCCGCAUGGCGCGCAUGGCGAGGUGUGAUGAUGGGAGCCUUUUGGGCUCGAUAUCCGGUUGUCCAGGCCGUCGAGAAAAGCCUCGGCGUGAGGGCCAUGGCCGCCCGUACCCCAAACCGACACUGGUGGUCAGGUAGAGAAUACCAAGGCGAUCGAGCGAAUCCUGGUCAAGGAACUCGGCAAAUCACUCCCGUGCCUUCGGUAUAAGGGAGACCCGCUGGGGUGAACCGGCUAGCCCGGGGAGCUUUGGUGGGUGGCACAGACCAGGGGGUAGCGACUGUUUACCAAAAACACAGGUGCAUGCGAAGGCGAAAGCCGCUGUAUAUGCACUGACGCCUGCCCGGUGCCGGAAGGUUAAGAGGAUCCGUCAGUCCUUCGGGAUGAAGCGGUGAAUUCAAGCCCCGGUAAACGGCGGUGGUAACUAUAACCAUCCUAAGGUAGCGAAAUUCCUUGUCGGGUAAGUUCCGACCUGCACGAAUGGCGUAACGACUUCCCCACUGUCUCGACCAGGAGCUCGGCGAAAUUGCAGUACGAGUAAAGAUGCUCGUUAAGCGCAGAAGGACGAAAAGACCCCGGGACCUUUACUAUACCUUGGUAUUGGCGUUAGGCGCGGAUUGUGUAGCAUAGGCGGGAGGCUUCGAAGCGGGUGCGCCAGCAUUCGUGGAGCCGCAAGGUGAAAUACCGCUCUGUUCUCGUUUGACGUCUAACCUCGACAAGUCAUCCUUGUCAGGGACAGUGCCUGGCGGGUAGUUCAACUGGGGCGGUUGCCUCCCAAAGAGUAACGGAGGCGCUCAAAGGUCCGCUCAGCCCGGUUGGCAAUCGGGUGUCGAGUGUAAUCGCACAAGCGGGCUUGACUGCGAGGACGACGGUCCGAGCAGGGACGAAAGUCGGAGAUAGUGAUCCGGUGCCGGCGCACGGGCGCGGCAUCGCUCAACGGAUAAAAGGUACCCCGGGGAUAACAGGCUGAUCAUUCCCAAGAGUCCAUAUCGACGGGAUGGUUUGGCACCUCGAUGUCGGCUCGUCGCAUCCUGGGGCUGGAGCAGGUCCCAAGGGUUCGGCUGUUCGCCGAUUAAAGCGGCACGCGAGCUGGGUUCAGAACGUCGUGAGACAGUUUGGUCUCUAUCCUCUGCGCUCGUUGGAAUCCUGAGGAGGCCUGCCCAUAGUACGAGAGGACCUGGGUGGACGAACCUCUGGUAUGCCGGUUGUCGCGCCAGCGGCACGGCCGGUUGGCUACGUUCGGGAGGGAUAACCGCUGAAAGCAUCUAAGCGGGAAGCCUGCUCCAAGAUUAGGAUUCCAUGGAUCUUCGAGAUCCUGUAGCCCGCAUGUUGAACACGUGUUUGAUAGGCCGGAGGUGGAAGCCCCGUGAGGGGUGGAGCCGACCGGUACUAACGGGCGACGGCGACACAAC
rnacentral:rRNA from 1 species